rnacentral:rRNA from 1 species
UACGUAGGGGGCAAGCGUUGUCCGGAUUUAUUGGGCGUAAAGAGCUCGUAGGUGGUUCGGUAAGUCGGAUGUGAAAUCUCCAGGCUCAACCUGGAGGGGUCAUUCGAUACUGCCGUGACUAGAGUUCGGUAGGGGAGUGUGGAAUUCCUGGUGUAGCGGUGGAAUGCGCAGAUAUCAGGAAGAACACCAACGGCGAAGGCAGCUCGCUGGGACGGUACUGACGCUGAGACGCGAAAGCGUGGGGAGCGAACAGG